rnacentral:rRNA from 1 species
GACGAACGCUGGCGGCGUGCUUAACACAUGCAAGUCGCACGAAGUGGCGAACGGGUGAGUCACGCGUAAUCAACCUGCCCUUCAGAGGGGGACAACAGUUGGAAACGACUGCUAAUACCGCAUACUGAAGGAGGGGAUUGCGUCUGAUUAGCUAGUUGGAGGGGUAACGGCCGACCAAGGCGAGGAUCAGUGGCAGGUCGGAGAGAAGGAACGGCAAAAUUGGGACUGAGACAAGGCCCAGACUACUACGGGAGGCAGCCGUGGGGAAUCUUCCGAAAUGGAAGAAAGUCUGACGGAGCAACGCCGCGUGAGUGAUGACGGCCUUCGGGUUGUAAAGCUCUGUUAAUCGGGACGCGGUACCGGAAUAGAAAGCCACGGCUAACUACGUGCCAGCAGCCGCGGUAACUC